AAAUCGUACCCCAAACCGACACAGGUGGUCAGGUAGAGAAUACCAAGGCGCUUGAGAGAACUCGGGUGAAGGAACUAGGCAAAAUGGUGCCGUAACUUCGGGAGAAGGCACGCUGACACGUAGGUGAAGUGAUUUACUCAUGGAGCUGAAGUCAGUCGAAGAUACCAGCUGGCUGCAACUGUUUAUUAAAAACACAGCACUGUGCAAACACGAAAGUGGACGUAUACGGUGUGACGCCUGCCCGGUGCCGGAAGGUUAAUUGAUGGGGUCAGCGCAAGCGAAGCUCCUGAUCGAAGCCCCGGUAAACGGCGGCCGUAACUAUAACGGUCCUAAGGUAGCGAAAUUCCUUGUCGGGUAAGUUCCGACCUGCACGAAUGGCGUAAUGAUGGCCAGGCUGUCUCCACCCGAGACUCAGUGAAAUUGAACUCGCUGUGAAGAUGCAGUGUACCCGCGGCAAGACGGAAAGACCCCGUGAACCUUUACUAUAGCUUGACACUGAACAUUGAGCCUUGAUGUGUAGGAUAGGUGGGAGGCUUUGAAGCGUGGACGCCAGUCUGCAUGGAGCCGGCCUUGAAAUACCACCCUUUAAUGUUUGAUGUUCUAACGUGGACCCGUGAUCCGGGUUGCGGACAGUGUCUGGUGGGUAGUUUGACUGGGGCGGUCUCCUCCUAAAGAGUAACGGAGGAGCACGAAGGUUGGCUAAUCCUGGUCGGACAUCAGGAGGUUAGUGCAAUGGCAUAAGCCAGCUUGACUGCGAGCGUGACGGCGCGAGCAGGUGCGAAAGCAGGUCAUAGUGAUCCGGUGGUUCUGAAUGGAAGGGCCAUCGCUCAACGGAUAAAAGGUACUCCGGGGAUAACAGGCUGAUACCGCCCAAGAGUUCAUAUCGACGGCGGUGUUUGGCACCUCGAUGUCGGCUCAUCACAUCCUGGGGCUGAAGUAGGUCCCAAGGGUAUGGCUGUUCGCCAUUUAAAGUGGUACGCGAGCUGGGUUUAGAACGUCGUGAGACAGUUCGGUCCCUAUCUGCCGUGGGCGCUGGAGAACUGAGGGGGGCUGCUCCUAGUACGAGAGGACCGGAGUGGACGCAUCACUGGUGUUCGGGUUGUCAUGCCAAUGGCACUGCCCGGUAGCUAAAUGCGGAAGAGAUAAGUGCUGAAAGCAUCUAAGCACGAAACUUGCCCCGAGAUGAGUUCUCCCUGAGACUUAGAGUCUCCUGAAGGAACGUUGAAGACGACGACGUUGAUAGGCCGGGUGUGUAAGCGCAGCGAUGCGUUGAGCUAACCGGUACUAAUGAACCGUGAGGCUUAACCUU
rnacentral:rRNA from 1 species